rnacentral:lncRNA from 1 species
UAAAAAGUCUAUUAGAAAUAAUUAGAAAUAAUGCUUCCAAAAAAGUCUAAAAUUAGUUUAAAAUAUAAUACCUGAUCCACCACCAUUUGAUUGCGUGGAGAGUUUUAACACAGAGCCUGAAACAUAAUAUAAAAUUUAAAUCCAUUACCCUGUUUCAUUACAGACUCGAAACAAAAGACUAUUUGGAUGUACGUUAGACAUGUCAUACUCUGAUUUGUUAAAGAGGUGACAUGUGAUUUGGAAUUGACGGAGGCAUGUUGAUUCUGGGACAACACCGAGCCUACAAAAAACAUAGCAGCAGUUGUUUAAAAGAGGCCUAUUUCACAACCCUGGAAAUUUACAAUGCUGAAUACUUUAUUGAGAUAGAAGUUUACCAUCACCAUUGUGCGAUAUAAUAUUGAGCACGGAGCCUAACAGUAAUAAAACAGCACCAUAUUAAAACCCCAAAUGAGAUGCUAUUAUAAACAAACUUAUUUAGGUUAAGAGAUUGAGAAUUGAUUAAGUUACUCUGGUUUGAUAUAGCAGACAAAGGCCUUUUAGGAGUUUGAUAAACAUGAUCAUUUGUGUUGAGCCGAAAACCUAAAAAAAUAAUAAGAGUCUUUCUUAUUUAUGAACAUUGAAUGUUAGUCUAAGCAAUCUAAGCAAUAACUAAAAGAUCUAGAGACCACAACCAAAAAAAUAACAAUGACAAACAAAUACAAAACACAGAAUGAGUGUACACCGAUGAGUCUAGACUUUUUACACAUGAAUUAAGAUAACUCACCAGGGGAGGGACUCCCAUCUUGAGAUGCAUCUUGAGAUGGUCUGAUAUUUUCUUUAUCUUUGUCCACAUUUGGCCUUCUCCUUUUUGAUUUGGAACCUAAAUCAGUUUCACAGAAUUGAAAAAAGCUCAGAAUUAGAUUAACUAAGAUACUUGCACAAAACAGAGAACAUAGUCCAUGAAAUCACCAGAACAAUCAUCCGUCAGCGUAGGGAAACUAUCGAGUUUGAGGUGAUUGUAAAAUCCCUAAAAUCCAUCCAAGAAACAAAAAAACAAAUAUCAGAAGAAAUUCAUCAUCAAAAACCGAGUGCUAAACAAAUGCAUAAAAAGGAUAGAUAAAAACGGGAGGUCGUCGUCAAUAACCUCCUUCAUCGCCUGUAAAAUGUAUGUUUCAGUGUGAAGAGAUUGCUGUGGUAUGUAGUGUAUGUGGGUUUGAAUUCAAAUUGAACAACUUUUUCAAACAUACCUGUAACAAAUGGAUUGAAGAGGAACAAAUUCAGCUCCUGGGGUUUUUUGAGCAAUGAGCCUGUUGUCUCUUUGCCGAAACGGUCUAAACCACUGCGGUGGAAAGCAACGCGAAGUAGGAAGAGCUCAGACAGCAUCACGUGAGUGCAAAUGGAUCCAAAAUACAGCUCAAUUGAAUGCCAGGAAUAGAAAGUGUAGUGAGUCAACUAAAUUUCUUAGUCAAAGGUCAAGCCCAGAAUAAUAUUUUUGGAUGGCAUUUUUUGUAAUUAGGUAUGAAGAAUUGGGGUAGGGGGUGUAAAAAGCCAUUGAAUUUGGAUUCAGGAUUUAUGAUAUAAGGGAU